AUUGAACGCUGGCGGCAUGCCUUACACAUGCAAGUCGAACGGUAACAGGUCUUCGGAUGCUGACGAGUGGCGAACGGGUGAGUAAUACAUCGGAACGUGCCUAGUAGUUGGGGAUAACUACUCGAAAGAGUGGCUAAUACCGCAUGAGAUCUACGGAUGAAAGCAGGGGAUCGCAAGACCUUGUGCUACUAGAGCGGCCGAUGGCAGAUUAGGUAGUUGGUGGGAUAAAAGCUUACCAAGCCGACGAUCUGUAGCUGGUCUGGGAGGACGAUCAGCCACACUGGGACUGAGACACGGCCCAGACUCCUACGGGAGGCAGCAGUGGGGGAUUUUGGACAAGGGGCGCAAGCCUGAUCCAGCAAUGCCGCGUGCAGGAUGAUGGCCUUCGGGUUGUAAACUGCUUUUGUACGGAACGAAAAGCCCUGGGUUAAUACCCUGGGGUCAUGACGGUACCGUAAGAAUAAGCACCGGCUAACUACGUGCCAGCCGCCGCCGUAACAC
rnacentral:rRNA from 1 species